CAUCUACUCUCUCCGUUCGGAAUUACUCGUCCAAGAAAUGUCUGUAUCUAGAUGUAUUUUAGUUGUAGAUACAUCCAUUUUUGUGACAAGUAAUUUCAAACGGAGGGAGUAUCUU
rnacentral:pre_miRNA from 1 species